CAAAGUCAUUAUUCCAGCAGAGGGAGAAGAAGGAGAUGCUGGGAAAGAGGAGAGACCAGCCGGGAAGAUGUAACAAUAGCCCCAUGGUAAUAAUGGGCCUCUGAGUUCUGAAACAGCCAACAGAGGAGAAUGACAAGGAGGGGCAAUGAUGAUCCAAGGAGGUGGCAGAUCCUCAGGAAACACAGGGUGAAGAUAUAGGUUUGGAAAGGGGAUAUAACUUUCCAUGGUCAAAAGCAAAUAAACUGAACAUCUCAGCCAGCCCAUCUGCUUGGAGCCCUCUGCCUUAAAGCCACAUCACUCUCUGAGAUGAAACACCAGCCAGACAGGGUGAAGACAGGAGCGAGCUCCAGGUUUACAAGUGAUAGGAUCCCUGUGGAUUUCUAGUUCAGACUGAAAAUCCAUGAAAUUUAGAAUAAUAUGGGGAUAGUUUACAGACAUGUGAACUUUUACUGUGUAUGUUUUACUUACAAUGCAAUACCUAAUACUUCCACUGCGACAUCAGCAAACAUCCUUAGCCCUGUUUGCCACUGCACCACAGAGCUUUUCAUGCAAACUAACAUUACAGUAUGAUACAAAGAAAACUGUUUCUUCUUAAGAUAUUUACAAUGUGAUCAGGUUUAUUUAAAUAAAGUCCAUUUUAUACUAGCUUUAGAAUUGUCAUUAAUUUUAAAAGGCAGUAAUAUGCCAUCAAAUUCGUUCCUAAUCUUUUACAAGUGUUAUUUUUCCUUGCUAUUUUCAUUUUAUCAUUAUUCUCUCCAAAAGUCUGCAAAUUGAUUUUGGGGAAAAUAGGUAGAUAUACCACACUAAAGUUGCAGACACCUAAACGUCCAUGAAGACUUACUUUUUUUACUCAGGCCAGGCCUAAUGUCAGCUGCACAAAACCAUGAGGCUCAGCCCUGGAAAGAAGAAUGUUUCCACUUUUGCCCUCAGUCCUUCUUCACUAUUCAGCUUCUGCAUGAAUGUCCCUGUGUGCUUUCAUAAUCUCACAUUAUCCUAGUAUUGUGCUUCUAUAUUUUUCUAAUUUCUAAUUUCUAAAUUUUCUUUUCAAUAAAACUUAAGGACUGCUGAGUUUUUAUCCAGGACCAGGAAAAAAUAAAAAUCAGCACUCUGACAAUAAAAGUUGCUUUGAGAUUGCAUACCAUAAGUCACGCUUGUUCGGUGUCCAGGGAUACCACUGUAUUUCCAGUGAUUUCCUUCAAUCACUGCCAAGAGAAAGGCUUGGAUUUCCAGCAUACAUUUGCUCCCAGAAAGCCGGUGCACAGGGGAGCAGCUUGGCCCCCGACCAUCUUCAACUAUGGUGCAGCCCUGCAACAGAGCGGGGGAGGCCAGACAGAACUCACUCCUGAAGCCAAACCCCCCAAGGUUUGCUCCUGGAGCCUCUUCCUAUGUCAUUGUCAUUAACCUGUUGUGAUGCUCCGGUUGUCAUUCCCAGAAAUCCAGGCACUUGGUCAUCUGUGCCCAAGUCAAAUUGCUUGCUCUGGGGCACACCUUCUACUCAAGGAAAAAUGAGACCUCAGGAAAAUCCAAUCCAUCCCAGACCAAGCUCCCAGCCCAAAAUAGUGUGCUGCUGCUGAGUUUCUAGACGACAUCUUACCUUCUCCUCAGAGGUCUGCUCCAAGGGCCUUGACCUGGCGGCCCGCUUCAUGGAGUGAGCAGGCCACGCGUGCAGUACAUGGAGCUUAGGAAGUGCUUGGUCAUCUUUCCAUUCAGGGUGAGUUUGGUUACAGCUUGAGUAGGUAUAGCUCCACCUAAGGGAACUACCAGUCAAAUAAUUAGGGCUUAGAAAUGCUCCAUUUCACCCUUCAAUUGUCCAUUCCAGGGCACCAGCUGAAAUGUAGAGGAAGCUUCAGGACAGGCUCACCUGGAUGGGAGCAUGCCCCUGUUUGCCCUGUUCACUUCAUUUUCAGGAUUUU
rnacentral:lncRNA from 1 species